UUAGGUAUGUAAAGUUCUUUUAUUAAAGAAGAAAAAAUGAUGGAAAAAUCAUUCUGACGGUAUUUAAUGAAUAAGCCCCGGCUAACUAUGUGCCAGCAGCUGCGGUAAUACAUGGGGGGCAAGCGUUAUCCGGAUUUAUUGGGCGUAAAGGGUGUGUAGGCGGUUUAAUAAGUCUAUGGUAUAAGUUCAACGCUUAACGUUGUGAUGCUAUGGAAACUGUUUGACUAGAGUUGGAUAGAGGCAAGUGGAAUUCCAUGUGUAGCGGUAAAAUGCGUAAAUAUAUGGAGGAACACCAGUAGCGAAGGCGGCUUGCUGGGUCUUAACUGACGCUGAGGCACGAAAGCGUGGGGAGCAAACAGGAUUAGAUACCCUGGUAGUCCACGCCGUAAACGAUGAGUACUAAGUGUUGGGUUAAACCAGUGCUGAAGUUAACACAUUAAGUACUCCGCCUGAGUAGUACGUACGCAAGUAUGAAACUUAAAGGAAUUGACGGGACUCCGCACAAGCGGUGGAUCAUGUUGUUUAAUUCGAAGAUACACGAAAAACCUUACCAGGUCUUGACAUACUCUGCAAAGCUAUAGAAAUAUAGUGGAGGUUAUCAGGGAUACAGGUGGUGCAUGGUUGUCGUCAGCUCGUGUCGUGAGAUGUUGGGUUAAGUCCCGCAACGAGCGCAACCCUUAUCGCUAGUUACCAUCAUUUAGUUGGGCACUUUAGUGAGACUGCCAAUGAUAAAUUGGAGGAAGGUGGGGAUUACGUCAAAUCAUCAUGCCCCUUAUGACCUGGGCUACAAACGUGAUACAAUGGCUGUUACAAAGAGUAGCUGAAGCGUGAGUUUUUAGCAAAUCUCAAAAAAACAGUCUCAGUUCGGAUUGAAGUCUGCAACUCGACUUCAUGAAGUCGGAAUCGCUAGUAAUCGCGAAUCAGCAUGUCGUGGUGAAUACGUUCUCGGGGUUUGUACACACCGCCCGUCAAACCAUGAAAGUUGACAAUACUCGAAACCAGUAGCCUAACUUGCAAAAGAGGGAACUGUCUAAGGUAGGGUCGAUGAUUGGGGUUAAGUCGUAACAAGGUAUCCCUACCGGAAGGUGGGGAUGGAUCACCUCCUUUCUAAGGAAAAUAUCAUCUUCAGUUGUGAAAGACUUAAAAAAGUUUUUUUAUUUUUUUAAGAUAAAAAUAAAUAAUGGUCCGGGGCCUAUAGCUCAGUUGGUUAGAGCACACGCCUGAUAAGCGUGAGGUCGAUGGUUCGAGUCCUAGCCACCAAAGUAUUUAUCUUAAGAAAACAAGCUCUU
rnacentral:rRNA from 1 species